CAGCAGCCGCGGUAAUACGGAGGGUGCAAGCGUUAUCCGGAUUUAUUGGGUUUAAAGGGUCCGUAGGCGGACUUAUAAGUCAGUGGUGAAAGCCUGUCGCUUAACGAUAGAACUGCCAUUGAUACUGUAAGUCUUGAGUAUAUUUGAGGUAGCUGGAAUAAGUAGUGUAGCGGUGAAAUGCAUAGAUAUUACUUAGAACACCAAUUGCGAAGGCAGGUUACCAAGAUAUAACUGACGCUGAGGGACGAAAGCGUGGGUAGCGAACAGGAUUAGAUACCCCAGUAGUCCCUGUCUCUUAUAC
rnacentral:rRNA from 1 species